rnacentral:rRNA from 1 species
AACGAACGCUGGCGGCAUGCCUAACACAUGCAAGUCGAACGAGACCUUCGGGUCUAGUGGCGCACGGGUGCGUAACGCGUGGGAACCUGCCCUUAGGUUCGGAAUAACUCCCCGAAAGGGGUGCUAAUACCGGAUAAUGUCUUCGGACCAAAGAUUUAUCGCCUUUGGAUGGGCCCGCGUUGGAUUAGCUAGUUGGUAGGGUAAAAGCCUACCAAGGCGACGAUCCAUAGCUGGUCUGAGAGGAUGAUCAGCCACACUGGGACUGAGACACGGCCCAGACUCCUACGGGAGGGAGCAGUGGGGAAUAUUGGAGAAUGGGCGAAAGCCUGAUCCAGCAAUGCCGCGUGAGUGAUGAAGGCCUUAGGGUUGUAAAGCUCUUUUACCCGGGAUGAUAAUGACAGUACCGGGAGAAUAAGCUCCGGCUAACUCCGUG